rnacentral:pre_miRNA from 1 species
UGACAGAAGAGAGUGAGCACACGCAGGCAAUUGUAUGAAGGCAUACCUUUGCGGGUGCGUGCUCACUUCUCUUUCUGUCAGC